AAUAAAAGGCACUACCGGGCCAGAUGACUUGUUGAGCUGUCUGUUACUUGCGAAAAAUGCUCCUGCGCUUGGCUUUCCUGUCAAAAUGGUUAUAUUCAAUUAGAACUUGGUGAAACAUCAUAUACCUUUCCUAGGAAAACAUCAUAUAUGAUCAAUUAGCAUCAGUGCCAGAACUGGAGGUGCAGGCAAACACCAAGCUGGGAUUAUCAAUAUUUAUGAAGGCAGUCCACUACUAAGUUUUGAAACCUCACGAGAGAGCACGUUGCUGCUCUUCACUUCAGCAGCAUAAACAUGCUUUUGCUAGCAUCUCCUUAUUUUUAAUUAGUUAUAUGCACCUUAGUUUUCAGCUUCUACAUUUGUUUGUAAACUAAUUGCAAAGUCACCAACUGAUCCUCCUUUCUAAUCCAAAAAAAUAUACAAAAAUUAAUAAAGUAUUGUUUUCGACCA